UGUGGGAGCGGGCUUGCUCGCGAUAGCGGUGUGUCAGCCAAUAAAUCUGGCACUGAUACACCGCUAUCGCGAGCAAGCCCGCUCCCACA
rnacentral:misc_RNA from 1 species